rnacentral:rRNA from 1 species
AUGAACGCUGGCGGCGUGCCUAAUACAUGCAAGUCGAGCGAACGGACGAGGAGCUUGCUUCUCUGAUGUUAGCGGCGGACGGGUGAGUAACACGUGGAUAACCUACCUAUAAGACUGGGAUAACUUCGGGAAACCGUAGCUAAUACCGGAUAAUAUUUUGAACCGCAUGGUUCAAAAGUGAAAGACGGUCUUGCUGUCACUUAUAGAUGGAUCCGCGCUGCAUUAGCUAGUUGGUAAGGUAACGGCUUACCAAGGCAACGAUGCAUAGCCGACCUGAGAGGGUGAUCGGCCACACUGGAACUGAGACACGGUCCAGACUCCUACGGGAGGCAGCAGUAGGGAAUCUUCCGCAAUGGGCGAAAGCCUGACGGAGCAACGCCGCGUGAGUGAUGAAGGUCUUCGGAUCGUAAAACUCUGUUAUUAGGGAAGAACAUAUGUGUAAGUAACUGUGCACAUCUUGACGGUACCUAAUCAGAAAGCCACGGCUAACUACGUG